CCCCUGCCUUGACCCCCUUCUCCCUCCGCCUCACCCCCUUUUCCCUCUGUCUCUGCCUCCCGCCCAGUCUCUCCUUUAGUCCCUUCUCCCCCUGUCUCUGCUUCUCGCCCUGUGCCUGCUUUCCACCCUUGUCUCAACUUCUCCCCCUUCUUCCCAUGUCUCAACUUCUACCCCUUUCUCUGCUUCAGUCUCUUCUCUCUCUGUUUCUGCUUCUCGCCCUGUGCCUGCUUCCCGCCCUUGUCUCAACUUCUCCCCCUUCUUCCCAUGUCUCGACUUCUCCCCCUGUCUUUGCGAGACGUCCUCCUCCCAAGGCUUGUUGUGGACGGCAAGGUGCUUGCUACGAGUGCUUCAGACCCCUUCCACUAAACUGUCAUUGGUGAUGGCUAGAAGAAUUUGCACUGGACUGAGUAUUGCCGUGGACUGAAGGAGUGACCAAAUUGCCCCGUGACUGGCCAUAGUCUUCAGUUGGGCAUGGCAACCCACGCUGUGGACAAGAAGAUUGGCCAUUUGGUUCUAGGAGAAGAUUCCAGGACACAGAAAACAAUGACAUGUGUAAUUGGCAUCACCUGUAAGACACAGCUGAUCUGUUUCUUACAGGAGAUGCCCAUUACACAUGACCUCAAAUGUAUUUUAGUUCACUUUGUUUGAUCUCUCAUUGUCUGAGAGCAUAUUGUAGGCCUACUUGUAAUUUUAUCAAUUAUUGCCUGUUUGAAGUUAGUUCUGUUUUUUUAGUUAAUAAAUGUGUUCAUUGUCAAUAUA